rnacentral:lncRNA from 1 species
AUAAAUAUAAAUUAAUAAAUUUAAAAUAAGUUAAAAAAGAUUUAAAAAAAUUAAAAAAAUAAUUAAAAACAUAUUAAAAAAAAUUAUAAAAAAAAAGCAAAAAAAAUAAUUUAAAAUAAGGUGUAGGCGCCACUCCUAGUGGCGACUUGCCCUCCACUUAAGGGUAGGCGCCACCUAGGGUGGCGCCCAUGUGUUAGUUAGGGCACAAAAGUGCCCAUUUUUAUAA